UACGUAGGGCGCAAGCGUUGUCCGGAAUUAUUGGGCGUAAAGCGCACGUAGGCGGCUUGGCAAGUCGGAUGUGAAAGCCCUCGGCUCAACCAAGGAAGUGCAUCCGAAACUGCUGAGCUUGAGUACUUAAGAGGAUCGCGGAAUUCCCGGUGUAGAGGUGAAAUUCGUAGAUAUCGGGAGGAACACCAGUGGCGAAGGCGGCGAUCUGGGAAGAUACUGACGCUGAGGUGCGAAAGCGUGGGGAGCAAACAGG
rnacentral:rRNA from 1 species